rnacentral:tRNA from 1 species
GGGGUUGUAGCUCAGUGGAACAGUCUCUGCUUCCCAUGCAGAAGUCCCAGGUACAGUUCCCAGCAUCUCCA